rnacentral:hammerhead_ribozyme from 1 species
AUCCAGAUGACGAGCCCCAAAUAGGACGAACCUCACGUUCUGGAU